CGGCUCAGUAACACGUGGAUAACCUACCCUCAGAUCUGGGAUAACUCCGGGAAACUGGAGAUAAUACCGGAUAAUCCGUGAACGCUGGAAUGCCUUACGGUUGAAAGCUUUAGCGUCUGAGGAUGGGUCUGCGGCCGAUUAGGUAGUUGCUGGGGUAACGUCCCAACAAGCCGAUAAUCGGUACGGGUUGUGAGAGCAAGAGCCCGGAGAUGGAUUCUGAGACACGAAUCCAGGUCCUACGGGGCGCAGCAGGCGCGAAAACUUUACACUGCGCGAAAGCGCGAUAAGGGGACCUCGAGUGCGUGCGCAAAGCGUACGCUUUUCAGAUGCCUAAAAAGCAUCUGGAAUAAGGGCCGGGCAAGACCGGUGCCAGCCGCCGCGGUAACACCGGCGGCUCAAGUGGUGGCCGCUAUUAUUGGGCUUAAAGGGUCCGUAGCCGGACCAGUUAGUCCCUUGGGAAAUCUUACGGCUUAACCGUAAGGCUGCCAAUGGAUACUGCUGGUCUUGGGACCGGGAGAGGCAAGAGGUACCUCAGGGGUAGGAGUGAAAUCCUGUAAUCCUUGAGGGACCGCCAGUGGCGAAGGCGUCUUGCUAGAACGGGUCCGACGGUGAGGGACGAAAGCUAGGGGCACGAACCGGAUUAGAUACCCGGGUAGUCCUAGCCGUAAACGAUGCGAGC
rnacentral:rRNA from 1 species